UACGGGGGGGGCAAGCGUUGUUCGGAAUUACUGGGCGUAAAGGGCUCGUAGGUGGCCAACUAAGUCAGACGUGAAAUCCCCAGGCUCAACUUGGGAACUGCGUCGGAUACUGGAUGGCUUGAAUUCGGGAGAGGGAUGCAGAAUUCCAGGUGUAGCGGUGAAAUGCGUAGAUAUCUGGAGGAAUACCGGUGGCGAAGGCGGGUCUCUGGGCCGUAACUGACGCUAAGGAGCGAAAGCAUGGGGAGCGAACAGG
rnacentral:rRNA from 1 species